GGUUGAUCCUGCCAGUAACAUAUGCUUGUCUCAAAGAUUAAGCCAUGCAUGUCUAAGUAUAAACAACUUUAUACUGUGAAACUGCGUACAGCUCAUUAAAUCAGUCAUUAUUUAUUUGAUGGUUUCUUACUACAUAUGGAUACCCGUAGUAAUUCUAGAGCUAAUACAUGCAAAAAAUCCCGACUCACGAAGGGAUGUAUUUAUUAGAUAAAAAGCCAAUGCACCCUCUGGGUGGUUUGUGGUGAUUCAUAAUAACUGAUCGAAUCGCAUGGCUUGCCAGGCGAUAGUUCAUU
rnacentral:rRNA from 1 species